UACGUAGGGUGCAAGCGUUGUCCGGAAUUAUUGGGCGUAAAGAGCUCGUAGGCGGUCUGUCGCGUCUGCUGUGAAAACUCAGGGCUUAACCCCGGGCCUGCAGUGGGUACGGGCAGACUAGAGUGCGGUAGGGGAGACUGGAAUUCCUGGUGUAGCGGUGAAAUGCGCAGAUAUCAGGAGGAACACCGAUGGCGAAGGCAGGUCUCUGGGCAUUAACUGACGCUGAGGAGCGAAAGCAUGGGGAGCGAACAGG
rnacentral:rRNA from 1 species